rnacentral:rRNA from 1 species
UGGGGAAUUUUGGACAAUGGGCGCAAGCCUGAUCCAGCCAUGCCGCGUGCGGGAAGAAGGCCUUCGGGUUGUAAACCGCUUUUGUCAGGGAAGAAACGGUCUGGGUUAAUACCCUGGGCUAAUGACGGUACCUGAAGAAUAAGCACCGGCUAACUACGUGCCAGCAGCCGCGGUAAUACGUAGGGUGCAAGCGUUAAUCGGAAUUACUGGGCGUAAAGCGUGCGCAGGCGGUCUUGCAAGACAGAUGUGA